AGUGAACGCUGGCGGUAGGCCUAACACAUGCAAGUCGAACGGCAGCACAGUAAGAGCUUGCUCUUACGGGUGGCGAGUGGCGGACGGGUGAGGAAUACAUCGGAAUCUACUUUUUCGUGGGGGAUAACGUAGGGAAACUUACGCUAAUACCGCAUACGACCUACGGGUGAAAGCAGGGGAUCUUCGGACCUUGCGCGAUUGAAUGAGCCGAUGUCGGAUUAGCUACUUGGCGGGGUAAAGGCCCACCAAGGCGACGAUCCGUAGCUGGUCUGAGAGGAUGAUCAGCCACACUGGAACUGAGACACGGUCCAGACUCCUACGGGAGGCAGCAGUGGGGAAUAUUGGACAAUGGGCGCAAGCCUGAUCCAGCCAUACCGCGUGGGUGAAGAAGGCCUUCGGGUUGUAAAGCCCUUUUGUUGGGAAAGAAAAGCAGCAGGUUAAUACCCCGCUGUUCUGACGGUACCCAAAGAAUAAGCACCGGCUAACUUCGUG
rnacentral:rRNA from 1 species